rnacentral:lncRNA from 1 species
CAUUCUGGGUGUAUCUCAAACCGCAAGUUGCAAGGGUUGAACAACAAAAUUAAGGCAUCAUACAUUUAUACAUUUUAGUAAUAUUAUAUUUAAAUCAAGUAAGCAAUUUUAUAAAUACAAAAAAAAAAAAAAACAACUUCCACAAUAGUAUAUUAUUAGCAUAUAAAAAGAAACCUUUAAAGAAAAAAAAAAUUGAAAUUAUUAGCUUCUUAAACAAAUUCCUCAAUAUUAUUAGCAUAAUAAAAUUAAAGAGGGUAUUUUCGGAAUAAAAGUUCAUUCAUGAUGAUAUCAUUCUUAAACCUAUCUCCCCUCUUGGUAUUACAAUUCAAGGUUGUCAAUGAAUCAAAUCCUUAUAUAUUAGGAGGUGGGACCCACACUCAAUCCAAUUCCAUUAUGUGUAAGCUAUGUUGCACGGAUACGGACACGGAUACGGCGACACGAUAUGAACCGACACGGCAAAACUCAAAAACUGCAUUUUCGACACAACUUGGACACGGCAAAUAUAAUUACUUAUUUAUAUAUUUCUAAUUAAUAAAAAAAAUGCUCAAAUAUGAAUAAAUUUAUCACAUUGCUUAAAUAAUGUUUUAAAUUUAAGCAAUUGCAUAACUAUAACAAAUAACAUAUAAAAGAGAGUCAAUAUUUAAUCUAAAUGAUGAUUACCAAAUAGUUCUAUCCAAUUCAACACAUUCAUCAAACUGAAUGAAAAUCCGACUUUUCUAACCCCAUAACAACAUCAACUGCCUAAAACCCCAUAACUGAGGUGUUCAAAAUACAGAAGAGCAAGGCACGCAUGCAUUGGCAUCAUCCUUUAUCCUUGAUAGAUAAAAUGAUGCAGUGACAGAGAACGGCGACGUCGUUCCUCGGCUUCCUUUUCGUCGUUCCUCUCAUAUGCGGCUUUGUUGAAGUGAAAGCGGCUUCCUCUUCGAUUAGGACUGAGGUAUUCAAAAUACAGAAGAGCAAGGCACGCAUGCAUUGGCAUCAUCCUUUAUCCUUGAUAGGUAAAAUGAUGCAGUGACAGAGAACGGCGACGUCGUUCCUCGGCUUCCUUUUUCGUCGUUCCUCUUCUAUGCGGCUUUGUUAAAAUGGAAGCGGCUUCCUCUUCGAUUGGGUUUUAGACUUCUUCUUUCUUUUUUCUUUUUUUCGGUCAAUACACGUUGACGUGGUGUGUCGGACACUGACGUGGCGUGUCUCAGGCUGACGUGGUGUGUCGGUCAACGUGUCUAAAAAGUCAACUUUUUUGGACACGCCACGUGGCGUAUCGGACACACAGUUUGGUGUAUCGUAUCGGUAUCGGUGUGUCGGACACUCCAACACUCCAUAGGUGUGGAGUAUCGGUGCAACAUAGUGUGUAAGUAAACACUGAAAUUCUCCUCUAUCAGAAUCAUUCCCUCAUUUUUAAUUAUAUUCUAUGUAAGUAAACAUACCCAGACAUAUUCGACGGCUCUCAUCGCAGCAACUACAUCUCUCUCUCUCUUCUCUCUCUCUCUCUGUAAUAAUUGAUACGCCAGCUAUUCAACCAUUUGGAGAUUAAUUGAUUUCAUCCAUGAAAUUGAUUGUUCUGCUGAAAAUUGGAGAAAAUCGUUCAUACCCAGAUGAUCAUAUCCAAUCUGAAAGGAUU